rnacentral:tRNA from 1 species
GCCCAGUUGGCUGAGCGGUUGAGCGUCUGACUUCAGCUCAGAUCAUGAUCUCACGGUUCAUGGGUUCAAGCCCCGUGUUUGGCU